CGGCAGGCUUAACACAUGCAAGUCGAGCGGUAGCAGAUCUAGCUUGCUAGAUGCUGACGAGCGGCGGACGGGUGUGUAACGCGUAGGAACCUGCCCAGUAGUGGGGGAUAGCCCGGGGAAACUCGGAUUAAUACCGCAUACGCUCUACGGAGGAAAGAGGGGGCUUCGGGCUCUCGCUAUUGGAUGGGCCUGCGUGAGAUUAGCCAGUUGGUGAGGUAAUGGCUCACCAAGGCGACGAUCUCUAGCUGGUCUGAGAGGAUGAUCAGCCACACUGGGACUGAGACACGGCCCAGACUCCUACGGGAGGCAGCAGUGGGGAAUAUUGCACAAUGGGCGCAAGCCUGAUGCAGCCAUGCCGCGUGUGUGAAGAAGGCUUUCGGGUUGUAAAGCACUUUCAGUGGGGAGGAAGGCCUCGUAGUUAAUAGCUGCGAGGAUUGACGUUACCCACAGAAGAAGCACCGGCUAACUCCGUG
rnacentral:rRNA from 1 species